rnacentral:rRNA from 1 species
GACGAACGCUGGCGGCGUGCUUAACACAUGCAAGUCGAACGUAAAGGCCCUGCUUUUGUGGGGUGCUCGAGUGUCGAACGGGUGAGUAACACGUGAGUAACCUGCCCUUGACUUUGGGAUAACUUCAGUACACUGGGUCUAAUACCGGAUAGGAGCUCCUGCUGCAUGGUUGGGGUUGGACAGUUUCGGCGGUUGGGGAUGGACUCGCGGCUUAUCAGCUUGUUGGUGGGGUAGUGGCUUACCAAGGCUUUGACGGGUAGCCGGCCUGAGAGGGUGACCGGCCACAUUGGGACUGAGAUACGGCCCAGACUCCUACGGGAGGCAGAAGUGGGGAAUAUUGCACAAUGGGCGGAAGCCUGAUGCAGCAGCGCCGCGUGCGGGAUGACGGCCUUAGGGUUGUAAACCGCUUUCGCAUGUGACGAAGAGUGAGUGACGGUAAUGGGUAAAGAAGAACCGGCUAAAUACGUG